rnacentral:rRNA from 1 species
AACGAACGCUGGCGGCAUGCCUAACACAUGCAAGUCGAACGAGACCUUCGGGUCUAGUGGCGCACGGGUGCGUCGCGCGUGGGAACCUUCCCUUAGGUUCCGAAUAACUCCCCGACAGGGGUGCUAAUACCGGAUAAUGUCUUCGGACAAUAGAUUUAACGUCUUUGGGUGGGCGCGCGUUGGAUUAGCCAGUUGGUAGGGUAAAAGCCUACCACGGCGACGAUCCAUAGCUGGGUUGAGAGGCAGAGCAGCGACACUGGGACUGGGACACGGCCCAGACUACUACGGGAGGGAGCAGUGGGGAAUAUUGGACAACGGGCGAAAGGCUGAUCCAGCAAUGCCGCGUGAGCGAUGAAGGCCUUAGGGAUGUAAAGCUCUUUUACCCGGGAUGAUAAUGACAGUACCGGGAGAAUAAGCACCGGCUAACUUCGUG